GGUAAGAUGGCUGAGUAAGUGGUGGAUUGUAGCUCCAUAAACAGAGGUUUAAGCCCUCUUCUUACCA
rnacentral:tRNA from 1 species